UACGGAGGGUGCAAGCGUUAUCCGGAUUUACUGGGUUUAAAGGGUGUGUAGGCGGGCUUUUAAGUCAGUGGUGAAAUCUCCGGGCUCAACCCGGAAACUGCCAUUGAUACUAUUAGUCUUGAAUUUUGUUGAGGUAGGCGGAAUAAGUCAUGUAGCGGUGAAAUGCUUAGAUAUGACGUAGAACACCAAUUGCGAAGGCAGCUUGCUAAACAAACAUUGACGCUGAGGCACGAAAGCGUGGGGAUCAAACAGG
rnacentral:rRNA from 1 species